rnacentral:misc_RNA from 1 species
UCUAUUGAUGACCAUCAUCAGAAACGGCAAACCGUUUUUUAUAAUUUUGAGGGUUAAUACUUCGAAAUAUUGUUGAUAUAUACAAGAAAUACGCCCGGAUACCAAACACCGCAAAAAGACACCCAGGAGUGGAAAAUCCACCAGCUUCAAACAACAAAUUUUUUCGUAAGAAGAUCACUUGAAUCUCAUUCCACACCCUGAGUUCAACCCAACUACGAAGGAGAAUGACAUUGCGCUGGUGAAGUUGCAGACAAUACUGUCUCUGCCAGCGGCGGUGAACUACCUCGCUCCCAUCUGCCUGCCGCACAGGUCCCAAUACACAGAUGAAAUAGUGGCCGUCUCCGGGUAUGGGAUCCUUGACGCUGAUGGAGCUCCGAGCGACGUGCUGGGCACUGUCAACUUGCGGACCAUCAGCAACAGCGAAUGUGGCGACUAUCUCGGAGAAGACACCAUCGAGAAGAGCAUGAUCUGCGCUGGCGCCAAGAACAUCGGAGCUGGCGGCAUGGGUCCCUGCACGUUCGACUUCGGCGGUCCACUGAUGAUCAGGACGUGGUACGACCGUGACCGGUAUACGCUUGUGGGUGUGGCCACCAACCGCACCGGAUGUGGCCAGCCUAAUCAGCCGGCCGUCUUCACCCGAGUCUACUCGUUCCUGGACUGGCUCCUGGACAACACAGAGGAUGCCGUCUACUGCUGAACAUCAUGCCACUGCUCACGACCGGUGGAAAUGUGCGUGGAUGUCCAAAUGAAAUGUUCUCUUGCACGUCUGUAUGAAUACACAACCAACCUAGA